UCUCUCUGUUCUUUAUCAAUGUAUUGAUUUCAAAGCAUUGAUUAUGUGUCAGGGAAACGG
ensembl:miRNA gmo-mir-11205 gmo-mir-11205